UGAUCCAUGUGCUUGCGGUUCACAAUUUGGCAUGCUAACUGCCAUCAACAGAGUCAUCGCAUUAUCUCUGACUACUGCUGAGUAAAGUAUUAUGUUGCAACAAGUUCUGAUGAGCAAAAAGAAAAAAAUAAGGAAAAAGAAAGAAAGAAGAAAGAAGAGAAAAAGGAAUGAAAAGAAAAAAUAAAGGAGAAAAAGAAUAAAAUGCUCCUCAGUUCUUUGAGGCUCAAUAAAGUUCCCAGUGCUCUUAAAAUUAAGGAUUGAUCCAUACUCAUUUUCCAACCAUGUGCAAUCUGAUUACG
rnacentral:lncRNA from 1 species